rnacentral:misc_RNA from 1 species
AUCUAGAGAAAAAGGUCCGUAGUAUGAUGCAACGAUCCCGAUUCCGAGUUUUACACUUUCUGAUUUUUGAUGCUUUCUUUUUUCUCUUUUCUAAUCCAAUUCGUUUCCACAGUUCACCUUCUCCGUUGGCUUCAUGAUGAUAUAUAUUUCUAUGAAUCAUUUCCAUUUCUCUGAUAAUCUAUUUCAUGAUCAUGGUUUUGUAGUUAUUGAUUUUGAAUUUUCUGGUUUUUUUUGUUUUACCCUUCAUUUCUGAUAGCUUCUGGAAUCGAUUCACAGUAUUUUAGCUUUUGAUUAUGAAAAUGAUUUUAUUUAUUUUCCUUCGUGUGUUUUAAUGUGUGGAACAAUCAGCAGAAGGAAGAAGACAUGGCAAACAACUCAUAUGAGGAAGCCGUUGCAGGACUGUCAAAGCUUCUCAGUGAGAAAGCUGAC